UUUAACUGAAGAGUUUGAUCAUGGCUCAGAUUGAACGCUGGCGGCAGGCUUAACACAUGCAAGUCGAGCGGGGGAAGGUAGCUUGCUACUGGACCUAGCGGCGGACGGGUGAGUAAUGCUUAGGAAUCUGCCUAUUAGUGGGGGACAACAUCUCGAAAGGGAUGCUAAUACCGCAUACGUCCUACGGGAGAAAGCAGGGGAUCUUCGGACCUUGCGCUAAUAGAUGAGCCUAAGUCGGAUUAGCUAGUUGGUGGGGUAAAGGCCUACCAAGGCGACGAUCUGUAGCGGGUCUGAGAGGAUGAUCCGCCACACUGGGACUGAGACACGGCCCAGACUCCUACGGGAGGCAGCAGUGGGGAAUAUUGGACAAUGGGGGGAACCCUGAUCCAGCCAUGCCGCGUGUGUGAAGAAGGCCUUAUGGUUGUAAAGCACUUUAAGCGAGGAGGAGGCUACUUUAGUUAAUACCUAGAGAUAGUGGACGUUACUCGCAGAAUAAGCACCGGCUAACUCUGUGCCAGCAGCCGCGGUAAUACAGAGGGUGCGAGCGUUAAUCGGAUUUACUGGGCGUAAAGCGUGCGUAGGCGGCUUAUUAAGUCGGAUGUGAAAUCCCCGAGCUUAACUUGGGAAUUGCAUUCGAUACUGGUGAGCUAGAGUAUGGGAGAGGAUGGUAGAAUUCCAGGUGUAGCGGUGAAAUGCGUAGAGAUCUGGAGGAAUACCGAUGGCGAAGGCAGCCAUCUGGCCUAAUACUGACGCUGAGGUACGAAAGCAUGGGGAGCAAACAGGAUUAGAUACCCUGGUAGUCCAUGCCGUAAACGAUGUCUACUAGCCGUUGGGGCCUUUGAGGCUUUAGUGGCGCAGCUAACGCGAUAAGUAGACCGCCUGGGGAGUACGGUCGCAAGACUAAAACUCAAAUGAAUUGACGGGGGCCCGCACAAGCGGUGGAGCAUGUGGUUUAAUUCGAUGCAACGCGAAGAACCUUACCUGGCCUUGACAUACUAGAAACUUUCCAGAGAUGGAUUGGUGCCUUCGGGAAUCUAGAUACAGGUGCUGCAUGGCUGUCGUCAGCUCGUGUCGUGAGAUGUUGGGUUAAGUCCCGCAACGAGCGCAACCCUUUUCCUUACUUGCCAGCAUUUCGGAUGGGAACUUUAAG
rnacentral:rRNA from 1 species